rnacentral:rRNA from 1 species
CCCUUAGAUGUUCUGGGCCGCACGCGCGCUACACUGAUGCAUUCAACGAGCCUAUCCUUGACCGACAGGUCCGGGUAAUCUUUGAAUCUGCAUCGUGACGGGGAUAGAUUAUUGCAAUUAUUAAUCUUCAACGAGGAAUUCCUAGUAAGCGCAAGUCAACAGCUUGCGUUGAUUACGUCCCUGCCCUUUGUACACACCGCCCGUCGCUACUACUGAUUGGAUGUUUAAGCGAGGUUCUCGAACUGCUAGCGACUUAGCUUCGGUGAGGUCGCAGUGUGGGAAGUGAACCUAGCUUUGGUGUCUAGAGGAAGUAAAAGUCGUAACA